rnacentral:rRNA from 1 species
UACGGAGGGUGCGAGCGUUGUCCGGAAUCACUGGGCGUAAAGGGCGCGUAGGCGGCAUGCCAAGCGUGUGGUGAAAGCCCGGGGCUCAACCCCGGGUCGGCCGUGCGGACUGGCGUGCUCGAGCACUGUAGGGGCGGGUGGAAUUCCGGGUGUAGCGGUGGAAUGCGUAGAGAUCCGGAAGAACACCGGUGGAGAAGGCGGCCCGCUGGGAAGGAAGGCUCGCAAGAGCCGGCUGACGCUGAGGCGCGACAGCGUGGGGAGCAAACAGG